rnacentral:rRNA from 1 species
UGCAGUCGAGGGGUAGAAUAGCAAUAUUUGAGACCGGCGCACGGGUGCGUAACGCGUAUGCAAUCUACCUUUUACAGAGGGAUAGCCCAGAGAAAUUUGGAUUAAUACCUCAUAGUAUAGUGAGUUGGCAUCAACACACUAUUAAAGUCACAACGGUAAAAGAUGAGCAUGCGUCCCAUUAGCUAGUUGGUAAGGUAACGGCUUACCAAGGCAACGAUGGGUAGGGGUCCUGAGAGGGAGAUCCCCCACACUGGUACUGAGACACGGACCAGACUCCUACGGGAGGCAGCAGUGAGGAAUAUUGGUCAAUGGGCGCAAGCCUGAACCAGCCAUGCCGCGUGCAGGAUGACGGUCCUAUGGAUUGUAAACUGCUUUUGCACAGGAAGAAACACUCGGUCGUGACCGAGCUUGACGGUACUGUGAGAAUAAGGAUCGGCUAACUCCGUGCCAGCAGCCGCGGUAAUACGGAGGAUCCAAGCGUUAUCCGGAAUCAUUGGGUUUAAAGGGUCCGUAGGCGGCCAGAUAAGUCAGUGGUGAAAGCCCAUCGCUCAACGAUGGAACGGCCAUUGAUACUGUUUGGCUUGAAUUAUUUGGAAGUAACUAGAAUAUGUAGUGUAGCGGUGAAAUGCUUAGAGAUUACAUGGAAUACCAAUUGCGAAGGCAGGUUACUACAAAUUGAUUGACGCUGAUGGACGAAAGCGUGGGUAGCGAACAGGAUUAGAUACCCUGGUAGUCCACGCCGUAAACGAUGGAUACUAGCUGUUGGGAGCAAUCUCAGUGGCUAAGCGAAAGUGAUAAGUAUCCCACCUGGGGAGUACGUUCGCAAGAAUGAAACUCAAAGGAAUUGACGGGGGCCCGCACAAGCGGUGGAGCAUGUGGUUUAAUUCGAUGAUACGCGAGGAACCUUACCAAGGCUUAAAUGUAGAUUGACCGGUUUGGAAACAGACUUUUCGCAAGACAAUUUACAAGGUGCUGCAUGGUUGUCGUCAGCUCGUGCCGUGAGGUGUCAGGUUAAGUCCUAUAACGAGCGCAACCCCUGUUGUUAGUUGCCAGCGAGUCAUGUCGGGAACUCUAGCAAGACUGCCAGUGUAAACUGUGAGGAAGGUGGGGAUGACGUCAAAUCAUCACGGCCCUUACGCCUUGGGCUACACACGUGCUACAAUGGCCGGUACAGAGAGCAGCCACUACGCAAGUAGGAGCGAAUC